GACUGCUGGAGCCGCCCAGUUUGCUCAGGCACGCUGCUGCUGAGCCCAUUGUCUUCUUCCGAGAGACGUACUCCUAUCCCCCAUACCCUGAUCCCCCAAUCCCCCAUGGUUGCUCACUUGCCGUGAAUCUCUGAUUUAGACAAAUGUCAAUAUUUUCGGCACAAAUCUGAAUUUGUCUACACCCGGAAGCUCCUCCUAUCCUUCAAGCUACUUUGAUUCAGUGGAGUCUCGAGGCUGCAGGCAUGCGGCAACCUCGGUUUCAAUUUGUCCAGAGACAGGAGUUAGGCAGCCAUGUGCACGUCAACAGCGGUGCGUACAGCCGGUGGACGCUUGGGUCCUUCGUCAACGGUGAAUCCCAUAACAAUCUUGAAACAUGAUGGAACCAUAUCCAGUGAUGCACUAUGAAGUAAGUUAUCCGGCCCGCACAAAGACCCGUCAAGCCUGCAAAGGAUGACAGUGUGGACUUGGAUGGAACAAAGAGUUGAUCAAAACCGACACCAUGUAUUCUUAUGGAUGUAUGAGCCAUCUCACUGUAUACCAUUACUCUUCUCAUGGUCUUGCAGAUGCACCACAUAUAGCUUUUCAGCCUUGCAAAUUAGAUAUUUCGAUUGAUACAUGCAUAUUGUUGGGUGUCUGUCAUCCUUCAGGGUGAGAUGCAGACCAAGGACGACCACUUGACGCAGAGGGAUGCAUGGUUGUGUAGCGGCUUCGGUUGCACAUCUCAUGUAACUGCCGGGAUCGCGGAGAAGUGGUGGUGACAACACAUGAGUGACCUAGAUGGUGGCGAUACUUGUGCAUCCGAUCUCAAGCUUCGGGGUGAAGAGCCUAGGUCUGGCCCAAGGUGGUCAUACCUAGCAAUGGCAAUGUUUUUUUACGUUGUUAUCUUGUUGAAGGCAUUGUUGGAUAUGUUUGGACUAAUUCUUUAGGGUGCAAACCUAGAUUCUUGGCUUGUUGGUUGGAUCUGGUGACAACGGUGCUUGAGCGUCACUCCCUUCUUGAAGGCGUUGUUGUUUAAGAACCUCGUCGUCCAUGUGGCGUCAUGAAAUGGUUGGCGUGGAUAUGAUCAUUGUUGUAGUUUGCGAUCA